CGGGCGGUAGCGCAGUCUGGUUUAGCGCGCGUGCCUUGGGAGCACGAGGUCGCGGGUUCGAAUCCCGCCCGCCCGA
rnacentral:tRNA from 1 species